AGUUUUUGCAGCUUAUCUCUCUCUUCCCCAGUGUCAGGGCACAGCCCACUUUAAAGAAUGUUUUUGCAUUACUUAUUUUCAUGUUAAUAAUGUUUUGUUCAAGUCUAUAUAGCAGGUGGUUUCCCUUGACAUUUUAUUUAGCCAUCCCCUGUCUUUGGGUGCACUGUGGACUGGGGACAGAAUGGAGUUGCAGCCAAACUCUUUUCUGGCCUUUUAUCUUAGGUUGCACACAGAUACUCCUGAUACAUGACCCUGACUACUUGACUUGGUGCACCGGAACGGAGAGUUAGACAUUAAUAUUCAAGGAAGUGAAGGCAUGCUUGAAGCAGUCUGCUCUCUCUAGCAAGUAUGGGACUUUCCCAUCUGAUGCCUAAUUAAGAGGGCAGUUGAACUCCUUGGUUAUUACUACAUCUAGGAGAGUGGAAAUGUGGUUUGUGGCAAGGUGUUACAAAUUCUGUGACAUACAACUCUUAGAACAUUUGAAAUUUCUCUGGAAGUAUUGUUUGCUAAUCAAACCUUUACAUUUGGUACCAUAAGGAGUUCUUUAUGCUUUGCCAAGACAUUGUGUGAGGGUGACAGUGGGAUCACAGAUUACCUUAUGCCACGAAUGUGAUUGAUUCCCUCCCCUCCAGUCUGAAGAAGCAGAAGCAGAAGCCUGGCUGUUUGUCACUGUGUCGGCUCUGCAGUUACAGAGCAGUGGUUCUCACUUGUGGGUCGUGACUCCUUUGGGGGUGAAUGGCUCUUUCACAGGGCUGCAGCAUUAGGAAGGUUGUAGACUGACUGGAUGAUGUCAGUGGCAAGGGAUUAGUCCUAGCAUGCGUUUGUCAGCACAGCUCUUAGCAUGACCUGCCCAGUUUGCCAGCUCAGUCAUUCGUUCACCUACUGUUAGCAAACUAGCACCACAAGGAAUUUAAGACAGAUGUUGCCUGCUUCUUUUGUCAUUGUGUCACAAGGCUUGCAAAAGCCUGGGGCACAGUUUAGUCUUAGUUUUGACUCCCCCCCCUUUUUUUUUUUAAAAAGGCAAAGAGCCGAACCCCAAUUCCUGUUGUCCCAUAUGUGUGUGAUGUGACUUCCAUGUGUAUAUAAAACUAUUGCACCCUAACCAAACUUCCUCAGACUGUGCACUGUUUGUUUAAAAUAAUCACGUAUUUUAGUUCAAUGCUGUUGUAUUUUUUCUUUUUAUUUAAAACACUACUUAUUCUCUAACAAAUUUCAAAGGGUAGAGAUCUUUAAAAAAAAUCACUGGAAACGAGGAAAUGCGUUUGUUGUUGCUUUGUUCUUUAAAGAGUGCAAAGGUCGUUGGCUCUUUUGCUCUUCUUACCUUGAACAUGAAUUGUCAGCCAUUGUGUGGCUAGGACCCAGUGCACUUGGUGUUCACAGACCUGCUGUUGCUGGCCUGAGCGUGGACUUGAUGCAGUGACGACAAAUCAUUGCGUAGAAGUAAUGUUUCCAAAUGUGCAACUCAAGUUUGUAAAUGAAAUUUGGUUCUUUACAUCAUUAUUUAGGUUUUGUUUCCAUUUAGUAUUUAAUGGUCUUUGGAGAAAAAAAUAAACAGAGUGUUAUAUAUAUAUUUUUUGGUGCAAGAUAAGAUUUUGUUUUUUGAAACAAGUCUGUAGCAUAAAGGUUAAACUAUUUUAAGAUAAAAUAAAAAUAGAGUGUAUUUAAACAAUG
rnacentral:lncRNA from 1 species